rnacentral:tRNA from 1 species
AAUGGAGUAGUUUAAGAUAAAACGUAAGAUUGUCAUUCUUAAGAUGUCAUUUUAUGAUCUCUAUUG